CCUUUAUUUCCCUUCAACCUUGCACGGAGCCUAGCAUGAAGUAGGUGCUCUAUCCAUACCUGCUGUCUUUAUGCUGUCAAUGUGUAUAUUGAAGGCUCUCCUCUUUCCCCCAGCACCGACAUCGAAUGGUAGUUUUGGAGCCACUGAACAAACUGCUGCAGGCGAAAUGGGAUCAGUUUAUCUCCAAGUUCUUCUUCAACUUCCUGUGUUAUCUGAUCUACAUGCUCAUUUUCACUGCUGUUGCCUACCACCAGCCAGCCCUGGACCAGCAGGCCUUCUCAUGGCUGGAUUCAUCACCCGGAAUGUGGCUUCUGCUGGGCCACAUCUUCAUCCUUCUUGGGGGGAUCUACCUCCUCCUUGUCCAGCUGUGGUGCUUCUGGCGGCGCCGCCUGUUCAUCUGGAUCUCAUUCAUGGACAGCUACUUUGAAAUCCUCUUCCUGGCCCAGGCCCUGCUCACAGUGCUAUCCCAGGUCUUGCGUUUCUCGUCCAUUGAGUGGUACCUGCCCCUGCUUGUGUCCUCACUGGUGCUGGGCUGGCUGAACCUGCUUUACUACACACGAGGCUUCCAGUACACGGGCAUCUACAGUGUCAUGAUCCAGAAGGUUAUCCUGUGGGACCUGCUCCGCUUCCUGCUGGUCUACUUAGUCUUCCUUUUUGGCUUCGCUAUUGGUAAAGACCCUCUGGCCUCUCCUUAUCC
rnacentral:lncRNA from 1 species